AGUUUUUAAGGUUUAACCAUAUGUUUUGAAAACAUAAAUAGGAGAAUAUCCUCCAAUAACUU
rnacentral:tRNA from 1 species